rnacentral:rRNA from 1 species
GAUGAACGCUGGCGGCGUGCCUAAUACAUGCAAGUCGAGCGGCAGCGCGGUCUUCGGACUGGCGGCGAGCGGCGGGCGGCAGAGUAACGCGUAGGAACAUACCCCAAAGUGAGGGAUAACUGCCCGAAAGGGUGGCUAAUACCGCAUGUGAUCUUCGGAUUAAAGCUUUAUGCGCUUUGGGAAUGGCCUGCGUUGGAUUAGCUAGUUGGUGAGGUAAAGGCUCACCAAGGCGACGAUGCGUAUCCGACCUGAGAGGGUGAACGGCCACACUGGGACUGAAACACGGCCCAGACUGCUACGGGAGCCAGCAGUAGGGACUCGUCCCCAAUGGACGAAAGUCGGCCGGAGCAACGCCGCGUGAGUUAUGAAGGUGUUCGGAUCGAAAAGCUCUGUUGUUAGGGAAGAACAAGUACGAGAGUAACUGCUCGUACCUUGACGGUACCUAACCAGAAAGCCCCGGCUAACUACGUGCCAGCAGCCGCCGUAACAC